GGGGUGGCGGGGCGGGAGAGGGAGGAUUGGGAGGGGAAGAAAUUAGAGUAUCACUUUAGCAUGAAAAGUAUGACAAACAAGUAAAAUAGCAGAGCUCAAGAGAGAUCGUAAAGAAAAGCAGAAACAGGAAAUAAUUUUAAACCUCUACCACAUUGUGGUUAAAACAACCAGCAUGAAUAAAUCAAGUUUUUCCAAGAAGAUACUUCUGUUUGACUUCGUAAGUUUUUUCCAGGUUACCAAAUACUAGAAAAAGCAUUCUCACAAACAUGACUCUCUUUGUAAACAAAUGAACCUUUUCUUAGCCCUUCAUAAUCUAGAGAUACAUUUAUAUUUACAACCAGUUGCCUCCCUUCGUAAAACAUAAAGCAUGUUUAUCUAUAAUAGGUGCAGUCUCUAACAAAUGCCUAAGCAACUUGAAUAGCAAAAAAAGAGCUACUACCUAUACAAGCAAAAAAGUACUCCGAGAUUGGAAAACAAAACCUCAGAAUGUUCCAACUAUAAAUGAAGCUUACAGCAAAUUCAAAAGCAAGCAACUAGCACCAAUCAUAACAAUUUAUGUAAGCACAGCCCUCAUUUCCAAUCUCUUUCCCAAUUUCAAUCCUUAGAAAAACAAGAAGCAACUUUACAAUCCAAUUGACAGACCCAAUUCCCUCAUUAGCUAACAAAGCAAAGAAAAUUCGACCAUAAUAAGCAAUGAAAUAACAAAUUCCCAGCAAGCACAGAUUCAUAGAAUAAGUAAUAAAAAUUGAAGAAUUCUAGGGCUUGGAUUAUAAAUAGGGGCAGAAAGAGAAAUGGGACCUGCUUAGCUAAACUGAAAAGCAAGAAGAGAGACGUCGCAUUCAGCAGAUACUAGAGGAAUCAGUAAUUUGUACCU
rnacentral:misc_RNA from 1 species